rnacentral:ncRNA from 1 species
CCGAAAGAUUGUAUUGAAGAGUCGAAUGAGGAAGUAACCUUCUGAAAGGCUCCCCCCUAUGUUGAGUAGCACUCUUUCUAGUAAGAGAUAGUGUGUUAUAAGCUCAGUUAAUAAAUUUACCGUAACAGUUCGGUUGAAGAAGCCUACCCAACGGGUUGGUGUAACACAUGAUCCUUGGUUAACAGA